AGCGAACGCUGGCGGCAGGCCUAACACAUGCAAGUCGAACGAAGUCUUCGGACUUAGUGGCGGACGGGUGAGUAACACGUGGGAACGUGCCUUUAGGUUCGGAAUAACUCAGGGAAACUUGUGCUAAUCCCGAAUGUGCCCUUCGGGGGAAAGAUUUAUCGCCCUUAGAGCGGCCCGCGUCUGAUUAGCUAGUUGGUGAGGUAAAGGCUCACCAAGGCGACGAUCAGUAGCUGGUCUGAGAGGAUGAUCAGCCACAUUGGGACUGAGACACGGCCCAAACUCCUACGGGAGGCAGCAGUGGGGAAUCUUGCGCAAUGGGCGAAAGCCUGACGCAGCCAUGCCGCGUGAAUGAUGAAGGUCUUAGGAUUGUAAAAUUCUUUCACCGGGGACGAUAAUGACGGUACCCGGAGAAGAAGCCCCGGCUAACUUCGUGCCAGCCGCCGCAGUAACAC
rnacentral:rRNA from 1 species